CUCUGGACUGAAUUUCUACAUACACACUUCACUACUUUCUUUAUCACUUUUCUUUAAAAGUAGUGAAGAAGUAGCUCAUCCUGCACAUCAACUCCUCGUUCACACACACGGAAUCGCAGAAGAUGAGGAUGAUUCUUCUACUCUGCAUCCUCUGCCUGAUGACUUCUACUGGCCACAAUCAGGCUGCAGGAGCACCUGGAACAUAUG